AAGGGGAGGGAGCAGAGGAUCGGCGAAAGAGGGUGAGGCAGAGCAAACAGGAGCAACACAGAGGAGGUGUGGAGGUGCAAACACAGAGAGACACACAUGGGAGAGGAAACCAGAGGAGGCAGGACUAGCAGACAGGUGAAAACCCUAAACCACCCAGGACUGCAGGGCGACAGGCAACAUGAGGAACGCAGACAGAAAUCCCACAGCGCAGAGUCUCGGACCUCCUGAAUAAGACUCAAGUCACACCGAGAGAGGAUCUUGGGAAUUAAAAAGAAGAAAUGACCUGUUAAUGAUCUGCUGUUUUCUGCACAUGUUGUCACAGGUUCCAUCUAAAAAUGAAAUCAUCCCGUACACACUGUAGUACCUUGAGUAGGAUCCCCAUAACCUUCUUGUUGUUUGCCUUGGCUUCCCCAAAGCUUUGAACAUUGAACGCACAUAUUUUCAGAGCGAGUGCAAUGUUCAGCACACACAGCCCCACGAAACACAGCAGGAGAACCGGAGGCCUCAUCGUGAAGAGGAUUAGGACUCUGGAGACUGAACUCAGCCCGGUGAAGAUCCAUCUCUUGAAUGUCCUGUGAUCUAUUUGGGGAACAUACAGGUAAAGCUCGGUGAAAGACAGGGGUCAUGGAUGUGUGUGUUGGAUGUGCUGUGUCAGUGCUCAUUGAGAAUGGAGCUUUAUCUGGAACGGUUAAAACCACUGAAUACAAUGAACAAUGGGCUCUGUCCCACGCAGAAAGACUGGGUUUUGUCAUGUUUGAGUGUGAUCGAACAAUAGAUGGUGCUGUGUGUCACAUCCAUGUCAGUUUCAUGAACUUU